rnacentral:rRNA from 1 species
AUUCGAUGCAACGCGAAGAACCUUACCAGGGUUUGACAUGAUACGAAUUUCUUUGAAAGAAGAAAGUGCCGUUUGGAACGUAUACACAGGUGGUGCAUGGCUGUCGUCAGCUCGUGUCGUGAGGUGUUGGGUUAAGUCCCGCAACGAGCGCAACCCUUGUUUUUAGUUGCCUUUAUGGAACUCUAAAAAGACUGCUGGUUAUAAACCGGAGGAAGGUGGGGAUGACGUCAAGUCAGCAUGCCCCUUACACCCUGGGCUACACACGUGCUACAUUGGGCGAGACAAUGAGAUGCAAAUCUGCAAAGACUAGCUAAUCUAUAAACUCGUUCUAAGUUCGGAUUGUAGGCUGCAACUCGCCUACAUGAAGGUGGAAUCGCUAGUAAUCGCUGGUCAGCUAUACAGCGGUGAAUUCGUUCCCGGGCCUUGUACACACCGCCCGUCACACCAUGGAAGCUGGUUAUACCCGAAGUCAUUACUCUAACCGUUU